UACGAGGGGGGCAAGCGUUGUUCGGAGUUAUUGGGCGUAAAGGGCGCGUAGGCGGUCUGAUAAGUCUGAUGUGAAAUCUCUGGGCUCAACCCAGAGUCUGCAUUAGAAACUGUCGGGCUUGAGUAUGGGAGAGGUGCGUGGAAUUUCCGGUGUAGCGGUGAAAUGCGUAGAUAUCGGAAGGAACACCUGUGGCGAAAGCGGCGCACUGGACCAAAACUGACGCUGAGGCGCGAAAGCUAGGGGAGCGAAUGGG
rnacentral:rRNA from 1 species